UCGGGAAUUUUGGACAAUGGGCGCAAGCCUGAUCCAGCCAUGCCGCGUGCGGGAAGAAGGCCUUCGGGUUGUAAACCGCUUUUGUCAGGGAAGAAACGCUCUGGGCUAAUACCCUGGGGUAAUGACGGUACCUGAAGAAUAAGCACCGGCUAACUACGUGCCAGCAGCCGCGGUAAUACGUAGGGUGCAAGCGUUAAUCGGAAUUACUGGGCGUAAAGCGUGCGCAGGCGGUUAUGCAAGACAGAUGUGAAAUCCCCGGGCUCAACCUGGGAACUGCAUUUGUGACUGUAUAGCUAGAGUACGGUAGAGGGGGAUGGAAUUCCGCGUGUAGCAGUGAAAUGCGUAGAUAUGCGGAGGAACACCGAUGGCGAAGGCAAUCCCCUGGACCUGUACUGACGCUCAUGCACGAAAGCGUGGGGAGCAAACAGGAUUAGAUACCCAGGUAGUCCCUGAGCGGGCUGGCAAGGCGCAU
rnacentral:rRNA from 1 species